rnacentral:ncRNA from 1 species
AUAGGGGAAGCCGAAAACCUUUAAGAGUAGGCG